rnacentral:rRNA from 1 species
UACAGAGGGUGCAAGCGUUGUUCGGAAUUACUGGGCGUAAAGGGCUCGUAGGCGGCCAACUAAGUCAUACGUGAAACCCCUCGGCUUAACCGGGGAACUGCGUCUGAUACUGGAUGGCUUGAGAUUGGGAGAGGGAUGCGGAAUUCCAGGUGUAGCGGUGAAAUGCGUAGAUAUCUGGAGGAACACCGGUGGCGAAGGCGGCAUCCUGGACCAACACUGACGCUGAGGAGCGAAAGCCAGGGGAGCGAACGGG